rnacentral:tRNA from 4 species
GCCCGUGUGGUGGAAUUCGGCAGACACGCUAGUCUUAGGAACUAGUCUCUUCGGGGGUGCAGGUUCAAGUCCUGUCACGGGUAC